rnacentral:rRNA from 1 species
UAGUCCUGGCCGUAAAUGAUGGGUACUAGGUAGGGGGGUCCAAUGCCUCCCUGCUGGAGAUAAUUUUUUAAGUACCCCGCCUGGGGAGUAUAGUCGCAAGGCUGAAACUCAAAGGAAUUGACGGGGGCUCACACAAGCGGUGGAGCAUGUUGUUUAAUUCGAAGCAACGCGCAGAACCUUACCUAGGCUUGACAUGGUAGUGGUACGAACCUGAAAGGGUAAGGACCCUCUUUUGAGGGAGCUAUCACAGGUGUUGCAUGGCUGUCGUCAGCUCGUGUCGUGAGAUGUCGGGUUAAGUCCCAUAACGAGCGAAACCCUUGUCCUUAGUUGCCAGCGAGUAAAGUCGGGGACUCUAAGGAGACCGCCGGUGUUAAACCGGAGGAAGGUGGGGAUGACGUCAAGUCCUCAUGGGCCCUUACGCCUAGGGGCUACAAACGUGCCACAAUGGGCUGGGUACAGAGGGGAC